GCAGGCGCAAAUAUUUUGCGUUGACUUUAGUGUGCAUCAACAUGUGUGUGUUUUAGCACAACUAUAACGAAUUUUCUCAUGAAACUUUCCGAGGAUGCUAA